rnacentral:lncRNA from 1 species
CGGUGCGCCUGCGCGCCCCCGGGGGGCGUGUCCCGCUCUCUGCGCACCACCCGCGGAGCCCACCGCCUGCACCGGCCAUCGCCCGCCCUAGCCUGGAACCGGGCCCGGCCGCCUAGGGUCGCGUGGAGACUGGGGGCGAAGACGCGGCGGCCUGGGGUCGGGGGUCGCCUGCCGGACCCCGGGGCCGCGGAGUGGUCGCCGCAGGUGCCUGCCGCCCCCUGGCUCGUGGAGACCCCUUUCCUCCCCUUUAUUCCCUCUCGUUCGAGCGCGCUGCAGCGCUGGGCCUGAGUGCAGCGCGUGGCGGUGGCCGCGGCCCCCGGGCUCCUCGCCCUGGGGAGCAGGCGCCCCGCGGGCGGCCGCAGCCAGCGCGGCGACCACCCGCCCUCUGGCUGUGUGAUCCGGACUGGGCGCUGGGCUUUCCUCAGCCCUGGUGUCCUCUCCCGUGCUGCGGACGGAUCAACGCCUUGCUCACGAUGCCAGAGAGCCCAGCGGCCCAGCGAGCUCUCUGCAUCACCACGAGGGCAGGUUUCCUGUCAGCCGGUGUCUGCAGAUGCCAGCAAGCCCCAGCCCACGUUCCUGUAGCAGCGGGCCGGGAAGGGGAUGCCAAAGUGGGAGGAAGGACUGUUCGGAAAUAAAGCUGACAGCAACCAAAUACAAUGCAUCGACCUCGAUUGGCUCACGGUGUUUUUUAAGCUUGUUUCACUAUAUAUUUUCUGCCAAUUGGAGAACUUUGAACAUGGAUUGCGUAUAGAUGAAUAGUGAAUUAUUGGUGAUUUUCAGAGUGUAAAAAUGAUACUGUGCUCAUGGAGAGAAUUCCUCAUUGUUAGAAGAUGCAUCCCGAAGAAGUUAGGGGUGAAUAUGAAGAAGUUAGGGGUGAAUAUUAAAGCCUGCAAACUUUUUUUUAAUGGAUCAACAUAAAGAGUGGGAGGAGGCCGGUGGCACACAGCUGUAAUCUCAGUGGCUUGGGAGGCUGAGGCAGGAGACUUCUAGUUCAAAGCCAGCCUCAGCAACUUAGUGAGGCCCUCAAAAUUAAAAAAAAUAAACUAAAAUGAUAAAAAUUUAAAGGGCUGGGGGUGUGGUUUAGUGAUUAGGCACCCAUAGGUUCAAUCCUCGGUACCAAAAAAAAAAAAAAAAAAAUCUGUAUCAUCCAGAUGCAUAGAGACAGAAAAUGUGGCAAAUGUUAAUACUUGUCAAAACUGAGUUAUGCUAUUUUUCAACAUUUCUGUGUUUGAAAAUUUUGAUAACAAAAAGAUGGGGAAGACACCACAUGAAACUUUCUUGCACAUGGAGAGCGCUCCCGUGAGGGCUAGGAAACCCUACUGGUGAUUUACAGUAGGCAUGUAAUUGUGUGAUUUUUAUCAUAAUGUUGCUUGAGCAAAAAAUACAA